rnacentral:rRNA from 1 species
AAAUUGAAGAGUUUGAUCAUGGCUCAGAUUGAACGCUGGCGGCAGGCCUAACACAUGCAAGUCGAACGGUAGCACAGAGAGCUUGCUCUCGGGUGACGAGUGGCGGACGGGUGAGUAAUGUCUGGGAAACUGCCCGAUGGAGGGGGAUAACUACUGGAAACGGUAGCUAAUACCGCAUAACGUCGCAAGACCAAAGUGGGGGACCUUCGGGCCUCACACCAUCGGAUGUGCCCAGAUGGGAUUAGCUAGUAGGUGGGGUAACGGCUCACCUAGGCGACGAUCCCUAGCUGGUCUGAGAGGAUGACCAGCCACACUGGAACUGAGACACGGUCCAGACUCCUACGGGAGGCAGCAGU